GAUCCUGGCUCAGGAUGAACGCUGGCGGCGUGCCUAACACAUGCAAGUCGAGCGGGGAAGCCGGAACAUGUAGAGAUAUAUGAGAAAGCAUCCCAGCGGCGGACGGGUGAGUAACACGUGAGGAACCUGCCUUACACAGGGGAAUAACACCGUGAAAACGGUGCUAAUACCGCAUAACACCGCACUAUGGCAUCAUACGAGCGGUCAAAGGAGAAAUCCGGUGUAAGAUGGCCUCGCGCCCGAUUAGUUAGUUGGUGGGGUAAUGGCCUACCAAGACUGCGAUCGGUAGCCGGACUGAGAGGUCGAACGGCCACAUUGGAACUGAGAGACGGUCCAGACUCCUACGGGAGGCAGCAGUGGGGAAUAUUGGGCAAUGGGGGGAAAAACCCCCUGACCCAGCAACGCCGCGUGAAGGAAGAAGGCCUUCGGGUUGUAAACUUCUUUGAUCAGGGAAGAAACAAAUGACGGUACCUGAAAAACAAGCCACGGCUAACUACGUGCCAGCCGCAGC
rnacentral:rRNA from 1 species